UCAGAGAGAGAGAGAGAGAGAGAGAGAGAGAGGGAGAGAGAGAGAGAGAGAGAGAGAGAGAAUUUCUUGUUCUGUGAAAUCUUGUCUUAUUGUUGUUGGUUUAUUUAUUUUAAUUGUUUCCUUUAUUACCUGGCCUAUCUGGAAGUAGAGGUUAGGAUAGGAAGCUCUCUCUCUCUCUCUCUCUCUCUCUCUCUCUCUCUCUCUCUCUCUCUCUCUCUCUCUCUCUCUCUCGUAUGUGUGUUAAGAGAUAGCUAGAUAGAUACCAAAAUAUUUAUUGACAACAAUAUCUGCGUACAAUAAACAGUGAAAUAUUUAAUUCCUGCAUCGCUUUGCUUUAGUAAAUGUAAUGCAAACGAGCGAACUUUUUUAAAGUUCGUUGGUUUUAGUUCCGGUAUCCAUCACACCUGAUGCUCUCAGCCAGGUAAACCCCUAGUAAAACUCCUAGUAAAACCACUUUAACUCACGAGCCGGAGCUGCCGAUCUUAGCAAUGCCAGGCCAGCGCAUUACCACUCACAAUGUAUGUAUAGCUAUGUAUACUGUAGUGUUUUAUCAUCCGCAAAGGAAAGGAAAUGCUUGGGCUUAAUGCCUAUCGACUGCACAAGUGUUAUUAAGGCAAGACAUGUCAGCUUGUGGCCAAUCCUUUGCUGGGGUUGAAGAAAAACCACAACCAACCUCACCUAGUAACUGCCGUGGGUCAGGAUCAAACUCACGCCAUCACGACCACGAGCCGACACCUUUACCAUGGAGCUACACUGCCCACUCCCAUUAUCUGCCUUAGCUAUCGCAGUGUGUGUGUGUGUGUGUGUGUGUGUGUGUGUGUGUGUGUGUGUGUGAGAGAGAGAGAGAGAGAGAGAGAGAGAGAGAGAGAGAGAGAGACAGGUGGGGAGGCGAAAUGGCCACAUGGGAUGUGUAAUGGUAAUUAGAUUUUAAUAGAAAUUUAGUUGAUUUAAGGGAAUUCUACAAAAAUGUAUUGCAAUAAUUACUAUGGCUCAUAAGUCAAUUGAACAGACGUCGGCCCGGAAAUAUAUGUGAUUAUUGAACUAAUUUGCUCAUAUGUUGUAUUUCCUCUUCCAAAAUUAGAAUUUCACCACUGCAGA